GGAGGUGGACAGUCCAGCCUGUGUUGUUGGAAUUCCAGCUGGCAGUGCCUGAAAGCCAGGCGGCUCCUGCCUGCGCUGGUCACCACUGUUCCGGUGGGGAUGGCUGUGCCCGGGGGAAAAUGACCCCCAAGGACCCCCACGGCAAGACCCAAGAGCCCGGGACUGCGGGAGGCCUGACCAUGGCUCGGGAAUCUGGAGAUCCAGCUCCUGAAGCUCUUUCCCAGCUCUUCUCCUCUCUGCACCUCUGUCCCUCUUCCCCUGUACCACAGGACAGCAGAAGGAGACGGUUUUUAAUGAGCCAGGUGUCAUGGCUCGGUCGUGAUUCCGGGCAGGGCAGCAGAGCUCUCAUGAGCUGGGUCUCCCUCUCCUCGCUGCCUGGGGAGCCCAGCUCUGAGUGUCCCCGCCAGCGGGACAGCCGUGUCCGACGCCCCAGCAGCACAUGCGCAGGAGGGACCGGCUGCUGUUUCGGACCUCGCGUCCAGUUGAAUUUCUUUGCAGAAGAAAGGGAAUUCCUCGGCCGACAGCCGCAACAGCCGAGGAAGAGGGGGGCUCCUGGAAGAGUGGAUCCCUGCUCCUCGUCCACUCUCCAUAGCCCAGAUGAAAUGUGCAUCAGACGCUACAAGCCUGUUGAAAAGCCCUGCAUUCCCGGGCCGAUCCUUGUGUUGGCCUGUGCUCUGCCUGGCAGUGUGCAUUGCAGGAGGAUCCCUCACUGUCACCAGGGACAGCGAGCCGUCUGGGACAGGUGUGGGGGGGCAGCUCUCCCAGUGCCCAGAUGGGAUCUCUGUCUCUCUGCACGACAACACCCUGCCCACCCACUGCUCCCUGUCUGUGGAGAUCUCUGCUCUAGUCUGGGGACACUUCCAGCACAGAGAUACCGGCCUUUGUCUUUUAUAUAACCCCACAGCCAGAGGCAAAUGGACACAAUGGGGGGUAAACACGUCCCUCAACCAAUGAACUGCUGAAAUGAAAUUUAAAUAGUAUAUGCAAAUGGAAAAGAACUUGGGAGGCCAGCCAGGAGUGUUUUUACACUUCUUAUGGCCAAAAGAAACUAAUGUCUAGAGAUUUGGAAUUGAUUGCAUAAAGUAACAUGUAUUGCCUGCAUGUAUUUUAGAGCUAUAAAAAGAUUUAUUGCAGCCAGAUCAGAUGUCUCUCAUCAUUAUUAUUAUAAUUAAUAUCAGUAGGACAGGGGUGGUGAACAUUGGCAUUUAAGUAAUCCUUAUUUAUCACAUUGAUCUCCAGCCCCCCAGCUGAUUAAGCAAUUAAGGAUCAAUUCAGUUAUUGGAAGGUCCAAAGCACCUGUGAUGGUACCGCAUGCCAAGUCUGACCUCCCCUGAGUUAAAGGAGUCGGCAGUGACAUCCUGAAAAGCACAGAUUCCUACGGGAGAGAACACAGGCAUCUCCCUCUCCAUUUCAGGCUUCUCUGUGAUGCCUGCUCUCUUUCCAGCUGUGCUUUCGCCACUCCUGAUCUCAGUUUAGUUUAGUGCAGAACACUCACAUGUUGCAUGAACACAAAGCCAAGUCUUCAUGCAGUACGGUAAGGCCUGCCAUCCAAGAGCCAUGCGUUCAGGGGAACUGCACUUUAGCCUCCCUCAUCAGUGGGACCGUCUGUUGACUCUUCCCUUCUCUUCCCUGCGGCGGCACUCUUCCACGCUCAGCACACAAACCACAGAGUCUCCUCAGGACAGGAACCCCUCCUCUGACAGAGCCUCCAGAAGAGAGAGCAGACCCCACCUGUGUCCGGCCCCUGAACCGGACUCCCAGAACCUGCUGGACGGCACGGUUCCCCGGAUCUCAGCUGGAGCCGGCUGGCCUGCACGAGGAGCACGUAUUCCCACCGGGUGAAAGAUUCCUUUUCAAUCUGUGAGUUAGCGAAGCCCCUAAUCUUCCUUCACAGGCUACCCGUCUGUCCUCUGGAAGGGAGAUGUCCUCCUGGGAUGUGGAAGCACACACACUGCACACAGGUUCUCUGUCCCCUUGGCUGUCAUUCUUUGUUCCUUUAUAAAUGAGGCAUUCCAGUUGCCAAUUAUGGUUUACAGCUACUACAGCUCUCUAAUUACAGACGUUUAACGAGCUUGCAAUUGACUCUAACGAGCUUCCU
ensembl:lincRNA